ensembl:lncRNA
CAGAGAAUCAAAAGGAGACUUGAGACUGAACUACAGAGAUGGUGAAGCCUCCUUGCAGCCUAGAGAGAUGCCUGGAGAGUCCUCGGGCUCUGAUUGGGCAGCUCCUUAGCCAUGGGUGGGAGUAAGAGGAGAACUUCCUGUUUGAAUGGUAGGGUUCCUUGGAACAAGUUCUGGUCCAAUGAUUCCAGCUGUUUGCUGUCUCCCUUUCACCUAGUCAGCCCCCAGCUGUCCCAGGCGUGCAGGCUUUGCUGGUUCCUCAAGUUCCUGCUGACUGCCCAAGAUGAGCCCAGGAGACCAAGUGAUGGUGGUCAACCCCCUGAUACCUGGAUCCCAGGAUUUCCAAUAUCCAAACCUGAUAUGAUCUCCCAGCUGGAGCAAGGGGAAGAACCAUGGGUUCUGAACUCUCGACAGAGGGUAGAAGAGACAGAUAUUUUGAGAGGCAACUGUUCAGAUUGUGUAACCAGGAUUCAGAACAUAGAACUAUCUCUAAAGAAAGAAAUUUCAGAAGAAAUGGAAUCUCAGUGGCUGAGAGAAGAAAAACUCAUAAAGGAUAUUUCCAAAGGACUAUGUCUUGGAGAAACCUGGGAAAGUCAGGCCAUAUUAUGGAAAAAUGAAAGUCUUACCAUGGAGAGAUUGAAGAAAUCACCUUCUAAGGAGAACAGUUUCAGGCCAAUGUUAAUCAAUCACCCAGGAGAAAAUCUCCAUAGCUGAGGAAGGGCAGAAAUAUGACAGAUGUGGAAGAAACUGGAAUCUGAAUUCAAACACUGUUUCAUGCCAAGGAUUUUCUAUAAGAGAGGAACUCCAUAAAUGUGAUGCACGUGAUCAAAACUUCAAACAUAAUUCACAUGUUAAUAAUAUAUCUAAAAAGCCAUGUAAAUAUAAUGAAUCAGGAAACUUCGUUCAUUGGAGUUCAGCCCUUAAAGUACAUCAGAAAAUUCAUUUUGGAGGAAAACCUCAUGAAUGUAAUGAAUGUGGGAAAGCCUUCAAAGGGAAUACAGACCUUGUUAGACAUCAGAGGUAUAACACUGUUGAGAAGCCCUAUGAGUGUAGUGAAUGUGAGAAAGCUUUCAUUCAGAUCUCUAACCUUAUACAGCAUCAGAGAAUUUAUACUGGAGAGAAACCCUACAAAUGUAGUCAAUGUGGGAAAGCUUUCAUUCAGAGUUCUAACCUGAUUCAACAUUGCAGAAAAUGCCAUGGAGAAAAACCCUAUGAAUGUACUUGUGAAUUUUAAAAUCUCCAUCUUGGUCUAGCACCCAAAAUUGUGCACACCCACACUACAUGGGCAUGUGCUAGUCAAUGACAAAUCAGAAAUAACUAACUGGCCACCUGGGCUGUCCUAAGCCAAGCUUGAGCCAUCAUUGGCACUUGUGAGGCACAGGAAGUGACGGAGAGAGCAGCCUCGGGAAUUCGCUCACUUCCUGUGGACAGGGCAAGACGGCGGUUCAUGUUAGAAGCUUGAACAGGGAGGAGGCCCACAGACAGCUUCCCUUCAGAUCGGUCACAUGAGUCAAGGACUGAUUCCUUCCACCUUGGCCCUUUGGGCCUAAACUCCCUCUGCCUUGGUAAGAGGUUGAGUAACCCCUUUCCCUUUUCUCCUCUCUCCUUCUCUCCCUCACCUUUUCCCUACUCCCAUUGUGAUUAAACCUCCAUAAACUCCAUUCUGACUUGAGUGUUUCAUUUUAGGAAUUUCAUAAGUAAAUUCCUUGGUGGCCAUAGUUCAAUAUUAUAACAAUCUUAAAAGGUGAAAUUUUCACUACAACAUAUUGAAUGUGGGAAAGCCUUCAGUGAAUGCUCAAUUCUUAUUGAACAUCAUAGAAUUCAUACUGGAGAAAAACCCUAUGUAUGCAAUGAAUGUGGGAGAGCCUUUGUCCAGAGCUCAAACCUUAGUCAACAUCAGAGAAUUCAUACUGGAGAAAAACCCUAUGUAUGUAGCCAAUGUGGAAAAGCCUUCAGGCAAAGCACUAAUCUUAUUCAACAUCAGAGAACACAUAAUAAAGAGAAACCCUAUGAAUGUAGUGAAUGUGGG